UGGGGAAUUUUGCACAAUGGGGGAAACCCUGAUGCAGCGACGCCGCGUGAUUUAGAAGGCCUUCGGGUUGUAAAAAUCUUUUCUAUGGGAAGAAAAUGACAGUACCAUAGGAAUAAGGACCGGCUAAUUACGUGCCAGCAGCCGCGGUAAUACGUAAGGUCCGAGCGUUGUCCGGAAUCAUUGGGCGUAAAGGGUACGUAGGCGGGUAAGCAAGUUAGAAGUGAAAUCCUGUAGCUCAACUACAGUAAGCUUUUAAAACUGCUCAUCUUGAGAUAUGGAAGGGAAAGUGAAAUUCCUAGUGUAGCGGUGAAAUGCGCAGAUAUUAGGAAGAAUACCGGUGGCGAAGGCGACUUUCUGGCCAUAAUCUGACGCUGAGGUACGAAAGCGUGGGUAGCAAACAGG
rnacentral:rRNA from 1 species